rnacentral:lncRNA from 1 species
UGAAAUCUAGUUCUCUUGAUCUGAAAUGGUUAAAUAAAGAAUGAGAUACACUAAUCCAGUAAGGAUCCCUCAUCUUAUUUUUUAUCAUAGAACUGAAGUUUAAAUAAAUAAUAAUGUGGUAUUUUGUGCGAUUUUAGUAAACAUGCAUAAUUAAUUAUGGGUUGUUAAUGGAGCCGGAACUGGAAAUUAUCUACUGCUAUAUUGUUGAUUGUUUUUAUAGUUUACCUGCAUGAUGGUAUCUUAUUUAUUUAUUUUAUGGCUUGAACGCAUGUAUGGUUAUUUUACGUGUUUACUGCUGAAUCGGGAAAAAUGAAGUUUAAACGAUAAAGAAAUUGUGUGAUUAAAUGAUUAGAUGAAACGUCAGUUUUACUGUUUAACCUGAGAGAUGGUGAACAGACCGGGUACAUAAGGAACUCUACCGUGAACGUUAUCUCAUACUGGACGAAAUAUGAAAACUUGAUAAUUUGGUGCUCAUAUCAGACGAGGUAUGGGGGCAGUCCGCUUCACCCUCAUACCGGACGGAGUAUUGAAGUUUUGUAAAUUGGCACUUGUCGAAUUAUCCUGAUGUAUUUUUAGUUUUUCUUUCAGUAUUCUCUAAGUCUAUCAAUUAAUAAUUACUAUAAAAGAUUUGUAAUUAUUAAUUUGAUUUUUAAUUAAAUAUGUGAUACUUUGAUUUUUCUACAUCAACUCGAUUAUAUUACUCUCAUUCAAAUCGCAAUUAACGUUUAACAGUAUUUGUCUAAUUAAUAUUUUACUCUCGUUAUUCUAAAAUCAUCAAUCUCAAAUUAAACAGUGAGUUGGUCAAUUCUCACAAUUAAAUUAAGUUUAAUGUUGUGAAAUUAUAAUAAAAUGAAAGCUAAAAAUUUAACCACAAACAUAUAUUUAAUUCAGACUACAUCAAUCAUUCGGACAAAUGAAAUUUAGUGAGAUAUAGUGGUUUAAGCAACACAAAGUAUAUUUGAGAACAGAUUAAUCAUGUAAUUAAUUAAAAAUGAAUAUAUGAAAAUCUCAAACGCAAACAUUCACAUUUCAUCAUAAUAUCCUAAAAAUAAGUUAAUUGAAAACAAAAUAAAUAAAUUACUUGAUAAUUUUUCUCAACUUCUCUCUCUCUCUCCACCGCAUUUGUUCUGCUAUCCGCCACUUCAACUCUCUCUCCACUGCAGGGUCGCGCUCCGCUUCCCCGUCAAAUCUACACCGACUCGCGUCUGCUUCCCUUUGCCUCUGUUUGCGCUUGCUACUUUUGCAGAUCUAGUUUCUGCUUUCUCUCUCUAGCUCUUAUCUCUCUCUCUCUUUCUGUCUCUCUCUACAUAUCUAAUCGUUCCCCACAAUCUGUUCCCUUCUUCUUCUUUAGAUCUCCCUUUUUGUCGGUGGUGGGAGGUAGGGUUUUAUUGCUCAUGCCUCCUCUUUUUCCUCUUCAAGCCUCCUCUUUCCCUUCCAACCGCCUCUUCCUAUUCUGCAAAUUUUUUUUCCAAAAUGACAUUGUUUAGUAUCUGGUUCCCAGACUCAAAACGACGUCGUUUUGAGUGUUGUUGGACUUGAAGCUUCACUAAUUACUUAUUGUAAAAAUCUUAGUCACGAUAAAAUCACAAUUCCAUAAAAAAAGAAAAUGGUUAGACUCAAUGCAAAAAAAUUGGGUUCAAAACAAAUGAAGUUGCAUUUUUGCAAUUUAAAGCUCUAAAGACUCAAUAUCC